rnacentral:lncRNA from 1 species
GUUUGGCGAGGUUUCUAUCAAUGCAAGAAAACAGUGAAGGAGCGGGAAGAAGAGAUGGUAUUCCUGGGUAUGAAACCACCCCCUCUCUUCAACGAAGUCAGUGAUGCCAUCGUCCAGUCAGAACAAGUGUCAAAUCUGCGGGACGAGUUGCAGCUCAAACACGAGCAGAAGUACCAGGAAGCCUUAGUGAGUAUCAAGGAGGACCUGCGGCUGUUGGAAGGCGCAGAUAUCAAGGAGCACCUGCAGGACCAGAUCCGGCAGUGGUUCAUAGAAUGCAGGAAUCUGACGGGCACAUUCCCAGAAUACCCUAAUGAGGAAGAAGGGGGCUCAGCUGUCAUCUUUUCCAACAAGACCCCAGAGCAGGUUAUCGAGGAUAUCAUAGCCGCCCAAGAGGAGGAAGAAAAAUCAAAAAAGAAAAAGAA